rnacentral:rRNA from 1 species
GGGAGCAAUGCCGGGCACGCGUGCCCGGAGGGAGAGUACCCGCAGAAUAAGCAUCGGCUAACUCCGUGCCAGCAGCCGCGGUAAUACGGAGGAUGCGAGCGUUAUCCGGAUUUAUUGGGUUUAAAGGGUGCGUAGGCGGAUUUUUAAGUCAGCGGUAAAAUGUCCGGGCUCAACCCGGGCCGGCCGUUGAAACUGGGGAUCUUGAGUGGGCGAGAAGUAUGCGGAAUGCGUGGUGUAGCGGUGAAAUGCAUAGAUAUCACGCAGAACUCCGAUUGCGAAGGCAGCAUACCGGCGCCCGACUGACGCUGAGGCACGAAAGCGUGGGGAUCGAACAGGAUUAGAUACCCUGGUAGUCCACGCAGUAAACGAUGAAUGCUAGUUGUCCGG